rnacentral:lncRNA from 1 species
AUUUUAUUCAUUUUAUAAAGAGGAAUUUCGUUUGGAAACCUAUUUGAUAAAGUUGAAGCUGUGUGACAGGAUUUAUAUGGCAAAACUCAGAUGUUCAAAUUUAAAAAUUCCUGUAGAAACGGGAAGAUGGUCCGGAAUUCCAAAAAAUGCACGAAUUUGUCAUCUCUGUGGAAAUGGAAUAGGUGAUGAAUUUCAUUAUCUUUUUAAAUGUCAAAAACAAGAAAUAAAACUGCUUAGAAAUAAAUAUAUUCCACAAUAUUAUACUGCAAAUCCAACGGAGUACAAAUUGAAACAGC